GACGAACGCUGGCGGCGUGCCUAAUACAUGCAAGUAGAACGCUGAAGGAGGAGCUUGCUUCUCUGGAUGAGUUGCGAACGGGUGAGUAACGCGUAGGUAACCUGCCUGGUAGCGGGGGAUAACUAUUGGAAACGAUAGCUAAUACCGCAUAAGAGUAGAUGUUGCAUGACAUUUGCUUAAAAGGUGCAAUUGCAUCACUACCAGAUGGACCUGCGUUGUAUUAGCUAGUUGGUGGGGUAACGGCUUACCAAGGCGACGAUACAUAGCCGACCUGAGAGGGUGAUCGGCCACACUGGGACUGAGACACGGCCCAGAAUCCUACGGGAGGCAGCAGUAGGGAAUCUUCGGCAAUGGACGGAAGUCUGACCGAGCAACGCCGCGUGAGUGAAGAAGGUUUUCGGAUCGUAAAGCUCUGUUGUAAGAGAAGAACGAGUGUGAGAGUGGAAAGUUCACACUGUGACGGUAUCUUACCAGAAAGGGACGGCUAACUACGUG
rnacentral:rRNA from 1 species